rnacentral:lncRNA from 1 species
UGAAACUCCAUCUCAAAAAAAAAAAAAAAAAAAAAAAAAAAAGCUGUCUAGCCAGGCAUGGUGACUCACGCCUGAAAUCCCAGCACUUUGGGAGGCUGAGCGGGUUGAUCACUUGAGCCCAAGAGUUUGAGACCAGCCUGGGCAACAUGGUAAAACUCUGCCUCUACAAAAACUACAAAAAUUAGCCAGGUGGUGGUACCUGCCUAUAGUUCCGGCUACUCGGGAGGCUGAGGUGGGAGGAUCACCUGAGCCUAGGAGGUCAAGGCUGCAGGGAGCCAUGAUGGUGCCUCUGCACUCCAGCCUGGGCAACAGAGUGAGACCCUGUCUCAUAAAACAAACAAAUAAAACAGUCUAAUUCCCCAAGAUAAAUCAGAUUAAUCUCUCCUCAGGUGAGAUUAAUCAGUGGUGCAUGUCACAC